GAGUUUGAUCCUGGCUCAGAACGUACGCUGGCGGCACGCCUAACACAUGCAAGUCGAACGAAGUAGCAAUACUUAGUGGCAGACGGGUGAGUAACAUGUAGGUAUCUUCCCUUUGGCCUGGAAUAACACGAGGAAACUUGUGCUAAUACCGGAUAAGUCUUUACGGAGAAAGCUUUAUGCACCAUUGGAUGAGCCUGCACUUGAUUAGUUUGUUGGUGGGGUAAUGGCCUACCAAGACUUUGAUCAAUAGCUGAUUUGAGAGGAUGAUCAGCCACAUUGGGACUGAGACACGGCCCAAACUCCUACGGGAGGCAGCAGUGGGGAAUCUUGCACAAUGGAGGAAACUCUGAUGCAGCGAUGCCGCGUGAGUGAAGAAGGCCCUUGGGUUGUAAAGCUCUUUCGUCGGGGAAGAAAAUGACUGUACCCGAAUAAGAAGGUCCGGCUAACUUCGUGCCAGCAGCCGCGGUAAUACGAAGGGACCUAGCGUAGUUCGGAAUUACUGGGCUUAAAGAGUUCGUAGGUGGUUGAAAAAGUUGGUGGUGAAAUCCCAGAGCUUAACUCUGGAACUGCCAUCAAAACUUUUCAGCUAGAGUUUGAUAGAGGAAAGCAGAAUUUCUAGUGUAGAGGUGAAAUUCGUAGAUAUUAGAAAGAAUACCAAUUGCGAAGGCAGCUUUCUGGAUCAUUACUGACACUGAGGAACGAAAGCAUGGGUAGCGAAGAGGAUUAGAUACCCUCGUAGUCCAUGCCGUAAACGAUGUGUGUUAGACGUUGGAAAUUUAUUUUCAGUGUCGCAGCGAAAGCGAUAAACACACCGCCUGGGGAGUACGACCGCAAGGUUAAAACUCAAAUGAAUUGACGGGGACC
rnacentral:rRNA from 1 species